AUGAUCGUGUACGUGUUCGUCAACCUGGCGCGGAAGCCCCACAGCAAGGGCUCCAUGGUCACGGCCUCCGUCUUCCUCCUCUGCUGGGUCAGCGUCACGGCCGGCGUCUACACGGCCAUCUGCGGCGACCUCUUCCAGCUGUCGGCGCUUAGUGGGUGCCUGGCCUCCAUCCCCGGGGCAGUCCGUGGCGCGGGCCGACUUCUCUGCCUGCCGUGUCGGUGCACGCACGCCGGGCUACGGCGCCGAAGCGUGGGCGGCGGCGGCGCUCUGCCGCAGUUUCUGGACCAGACACCGAGUCACAUGCCCGUGCUGGCCCGGGAGCCGCCGGUGCAUGGCGGCGCGCGAGCGGUGAUGGCGUAUGACAUCCCGGCGUACGAGCAGCCGGAGGGUGGUUGCCGGUCAGAGUGCACGAUUUGCCUCGGGGAGGUGGAGAAGGGGGACAUGGUGAAGCGGAUGCCGGCGUGCCUGCACAUGUUUCAUCAAAACAUGUGCGUCGACUCGUGGCUGCACGAGCACUCGACGUGCCCGGUCUGCCGGUGCAACUUCUUCGUGCCGUUGCCGGCCCAAAUGGUAUGA
rnacentral:rRNA from 1 species